AUGGACAAGGAGAGUCCGUGUUGGAAGAGCACCAAUGGAACGCUCCCCCCCUGCGCCGGCGGGACAACUGCCCUGGAAAAAGCACUUCGUGGUUAUGCAAAUGAGAAGACACCAACCGUCAUAGUACAUGUAGUCGGAAGCACAUUUGAUUCACUUGGGGAGGCGUACGAUUUUUACAAUCUCUAUUUAUGGGAAAAAGGGUUUGGAAUCAGGUACAGCAAAAGCAGGCUAAAUGUGGAGAGAACAAAGUGCAUGCAAGAGAUUGUGUGUGGUUGCUCGGGUGUCCCCAAAAGAAGCAACACACGAACCUGUCGCUGCCGAUGUCCCGCAAUGAUAAGGUUACUCCGGACAAAUGACAAUGGCUGGUAUAUUAGUGAGCACAGAGCAUCCCAUAAUCACUCACUAACGGAAAAUUGUAGCGAGAAGCUGUACUGGCCUUCACACAGACAUAUUGACAUAUACACAAGAGAUGUUGUGAAGCAGCUGCGCGAAAACAACAUAAGUAUUGGUAAGGUGUACAACAUAAUUGGUAGUUUCUUCGGCGCAAUGAGCAACGUGCCAUUCAGCAAGAGAGCUUUGAGGGGGUUGUGUGGACAGAUCAGCAGAGAACAAGUUGAUGAUGAUGUGCGCAAAACAAUGGAAGUUUUUGCUGAGCUUGGAGCAAAAGACUCUGGCUUGUACUACAGGGUGCAGCCAGAUGAGGACAAUCGGAUAAGGAAUUUGUUGUGGUCAACAGGAGCAAGCAGGUCUCAGUACCAUUUCUUCGGAGAUGCAAUAACAUUUGACACCACAUACCGGACAAAUAUGUAG
rnacentral:rRNA from 1 species